rnacentral:tRNA from 1 species
GCGGGGGUAGCCAAGUCAGGUCAAAGGCGCCAGUCGCAAAAGGGCGAAACUCAAGAUCUGGCCUCGAAGGAGUUCGGGGGUUCGAAUCCCCUCCCCCGCA